AUGGAGGUCGAGUCGCUGGCCGACAGCGUCGACCUGUCGGAGCUGCUCACCCGGGCCCGCUUCGAGGAGCUCAACGCCGACCACUUCCGCAAGGUCAUGGCGCCUGUCAAGAAGGCCAUGGCGGACGCCGGGCUGGCCAAGGGCGACGUCGACGAGGUGGUGCUGGUCAGCGGCAGCACGAGGAUCCCCAGGGUGCAGCAGCUCCUUCGCGACUACUUCGGCAGCGAGGUGCCCCACAAGGGCGUCAACCCUGACGAGGCCGUGGCCUACGGCGCAGAGGUGCAGGGCGGCAUCCUGCAUGGCGACGCCAAGAAGGUUGUGGUGCUGGACGUGACGCCGCUGACGCUGGGCAUCAAGACGGCCGGCGGCGUGAUGGUGAGCGUGAUCCCCCGGAACAUGCCGAUCCCGACCAAGAGGGCCAAGAUGUUCACCACGUACGAGGACAGGCAGACGACGGUGACCAUCAUGGUGUUGGAGGGCGAGCGGAGCAUGACCAAGGUCAACCAGCUGCUGGGCAAGUUCGACGUGACCGGGAUCGCGCCAGCGCUGAGGGGCACGCCGCAGAUCGAGGUGACCCUGGAGGUGGACGUGAACGGCAUCCUCCACAUGGGGGCGGCGGACAAGGGCAUGGACCAGCCGGAGAAUAUCGAGUUCAGCAGCGCCGGCCGUUGCAUCACACACGAGGAGAUUGAGCGCAUGGUGCAAGAGGCGGAGGUGUUCACCGAGGAGGACAGGUAG
rnacentral:rRNA from 1 species